GACAGAGGGUGCAAACGUUGUUCGGAAUUACUGGGCGUAAAGCGUGUGUAGGCGGUCUUGUAAGUCGGGUGUGAAAGCCCAGGGCUCAACCCUGGAAGUGCACUCGAAACUGCAAGGCUAGAGUACCGGAGAGGUUGGUGGAAUUCUCGGUGUAGAGGUGAAAUUCGUAGAUAUCGAGAGGAACACCGGUGGCGAAGGCGGCCAACUGGACGAGUACUGACGCUGAGACACGAAAGCGUGGGGAGCGAACAGG
rnacentral:rRNA from 1 species